UACGUAGGGGCCGAGCGUUGUCCGGAGUUACUGGGCGUAAAGCGCGCGCAGGCGGCCCUUUAAGUCUACCCGUGAAAUGCCGGAGCUCAACUCCGUGCACGCCGGGGGAUACUGGAGGGCUGGAGACGAGUAGAGGCAAGCGGAAUUCCGGGUGUAGCGGUGGAAUGCGUAGAGAUCCGGAAGAACACCGGAGGCGAAGGCGGCUUGCUGGGCUUGGUCUGACGCUGAGGCGCGAAAGCGUGGGGAGCGAACAGG
rnacentral:rRNA from 1 species